UUUUUUUUUUUUCUUUUGUUCUGUUUAGUCUGGAUGGCUUGAAACAUCUUUUAAACAUCUUUUUCCUUACCGAUGAAAGCCACAUAAGUGCUUAAACCAACCAUUACAGUCAAAGGUCAUGAAGGUUUAAGACUUUAAUGCUGAUCCUCACAUAAAAAAACCAAAAUCCCCACAAAAUAACAGACUGAUCUUCCAAGAACACAGAAAUCAAAAUGCUCAAUAACUUUAUAACUUUGUUUAUUCUCCUAAAUAAAACAUUAUAUUAAAGUGUGGCUAUCUGUCAUAAAACCUUAGCUGUAAACCAACAAAUUUAAAGCAAUGACCAUCAUUAUGUAUUCUCUUUCAAAAUACUAACUUCAGAAUGAAUGGCUGAUAACUGAGGUUUGUGCAUGUUUCCACAAGGCAACAAUCAAAAGAUCGAAGAGACAGUAAAACUCAUAUUUGUAUUGCAAGAUGAUAUAUGAGUGAUUAUCAUAUAAUUAUUAUCUGUACAUAGAAGCUGGUUGAGUUUUUAUUUGGUUUUUAACUGUGUAAGCUUACACAGUUCUGGUAACAUAAAGCAAGUAGGUAAUUAGGUAAUGUACUGUAAGUUUGCCAGGGGGAACUAUCAGUAAUGCACUAGUGUGUUUGUACUUUCACCUGAAUUUCUGUCAGUGGUUGUCACUGAGCUCACCUCAGUAGCAUCUGUAGAAAGCAGACAGGUGCCUUUUCUGCCUGGAGGCAUUUCAUUUGGAAUCAGUGGACCUCAUUAGGUAAUCCCAAACCUACAUUGUGGUGGUGCUCUUUUACUCUCCCUUGUUUUCAACGUUUAUAUGUCUACAACUAUGGCAGAUGUUUUUAAGACACAUGGAGUAUAUUCUCACUACACCUCAGAGAAAAUAGUGCAUCUCUAAUUUGCGCAGUAGAAUUUGAGUUAAAAGUAUAUAGCUACUUUAUGAAAGAACAGAGAUCAACUAGACAUGAGUUCAUCUGUCCCAAGGUUUCUGGUUUACAGAGAAGAAUUUAGAGAGGAAGAAAUAAAAAGAACUGAAAACAAGAAGGAUUCAUAUAAAAGUAUUUUCCUUGUAAAACUUCAUCUGCAAGUCAUUAUGGUCAAGUCAAGCUAUAGCAACCUGACUAACAAAAUUCAGCAGCUCACCUAAUCCUCUCUAGAACAGUUUUGGAGCUUAAAUAAAAUAUUAAAAAUUUAGUAAACAAAUUAGAAAAAGUACUAAUUUAAUUUUCCAAAAGAAAUGUGGAAGGAUAAAUGCAUAUAAAUAAAAUACUGAAAAAAAAUUAAAAUUAAAUAUUGAAUUAAUUAAAUACUGGAACAUCCAUUUUUGCAGACAUCUUUUCAGUUUAGAAUAAUGUUUCUGAAUAUAGAAAACAUUUUUCUGCAAUACAGAAAGCUUUCCUGCAAGUAUAUUUGUAUAGAAAAUAAACUGUUCAUAAAAUGUAUAUCUCAGACUAAAGAAAUCAUUUAUAUGGCUGGGCAAAAGGAAACAAAAUUCUGAGGACUUAAAACUUGGAUUCACAUCUGGGACAAGAAUGUGGUUUGCAUUUAUAACUUUCAAAGUCAACACGGUAAACAAAAUCACAUAUUUACAGGGUUUUGUAUUUCACUCAAUUUCACUCAUCUUAAAAUAAAUCAGCUAUUUUACCCAUUUAAACCCAUAUGCUAAGCAAAUAUUGCAAAUAUUGCCGAUAUAGCACACAAGAAGGUCGAGACAAACCUAACUUUUUCUUUUUCCUGCACACCCCCUCCACAUCAGUUCACAAAACCAGACUAGAGACCUCUGUCUUGCUUCAGCACAGAGCUGGCCAGGCCAGUCUGCCUUGCUGAGAUAUACACUGCGAACCUAAACUAAUGAACUUUGCUGGAAGUUAAUUGUUUUAACACCAUGCUCUGGGAUGCCUAUAGACCCUGCCCUGUUUAGCAAACUUGUGUUCUAACUGUGCCCAACAUAAUUGAUUUUAAAAUAACUCAAGUAUAUUUUCACAGCCAUAGUAACACCUUUGAAUUACAGGAAGGCAAAGCCCUGGUGCUGCAAAUGUUCCCUCUCGGUAAGAGCAUUAGAAGUAGCAAUGAGGCCAGCUACUCAAGUAACUUAGAAAAUUAGAGAAGGUCAGAACUGUUGUUUUAACAACUAUGAUCAAAGCAGUGUUGAGUGAAAGGAGGGAACGUGAAGCUAAUUUACAGAUAACAAGAACAGAAGCAGUACCCCAAGCUUUCAGUGCAGCACUGUUUGCAGAAAUUUGAGUCACAAAGAGCACAGAACACUUUAGUUCCAGGUACAGUCUGUCAUGCAGACUUUUCAAAAUCUGAUAUUGUUUCUUCAUCAACAAAGUCAAGAAGGUUCAAUAAAAUUGAAAUAUACAGACUUCAGCAUCUCAUAAUAUAACAUGUAGAAGUAAAAUCAAACCAGAAAAUACUGCAACUCACUGGAAUGUUUUCCACAAACACAUUGAAGAAAUCAGGCCAAAACAAUAUUUUGGAUCGAUUGUUUUUCUAUUAGAAACCAUUUCAGCAACUCCAGUUAUUACAGGUCUAGGUUUAUGUUAUUGUAAGAAGCAACAAUAUCUCUUUAAAAAGUGGGGGUGUUUUUUAGCAACGAUAGGGGAGUACAAAUUCUUCAGAAAGAACAAAAAAUACAAGUUAGAAUUCAGUUUUAGCAGUCUCUUACAAAACAGACCUUUUUUUAUUGUGUUUUUGGUCCUAAAACAAUAUUCAGGCAUUAAAUAAGCAUUUAUUUAACAUACACAAAGGCAGAUCCAGGCGCUUUAAAAAAACAGGUCCUUGCUGACAAGGCAAUACACUUUACUCUUCACCUCUUUUAUGAAGUGCUACCAUCAGAGUUCAGGCUUUCAGCUUUCGUUUACCUGCAUAAUCUUAAACAAUGAGAUCUUUAAUGAAAAGGACGAAUAUUUCAGCUUCCUUUAGUCACCAUUCAAAACAAAGGUUUUGAAAACCAUACUUUCAAAGGACCCAUGUGAAUUACAGGGAAGGAAUUUCUCAGAAUGAUCAGCCAUAAUAAGAACUUUGGGAUUUGGGCAAAAUGACAGUGUUAGGGCUAUUAAUAUCAGAUAACAUUAGUUAUAUUAAUGCCUUCUGCCUAAGAGUGAAGCACACCUAUAAUGUAACUUUGUAGACAAUCAGUAUUGUAUCCUGAAACUGCAAAAUUCUGGGCACAAGGGGGUUCAAAUCCCCCAUCAGCAUUUUCAACUGCUAAAGUAACACAGUAAUGGCAGAUAUGAUAACCCUUCAAUAGUUCAUACAUAUUUAUACAACAGAAAUGCAUUCAUUUCUGAAAUACAAUAUUCCAUAAAUAACUAGGGUAGGGACUAGAGUGUCAGUAGUAGCAUUACUUAUAUUUGAGAGGAUUCAACAAGAGUUAAGAAACUCACUGAUCACCAGGUGGGCACAAGAACAUGUAUGCCUGAAGUAUGCCUUCUUGUAAUGCAUUUUAGAACAACUCAGAGUCCCUGAAAUUGUGCAAGCAGGGUUUAAUUUGUCACAGGCAGAGAAAAUCAAAGAAACAAAUUCCAUACAAAGAUAUUGAGACUGCACAAGCUUCCCUGUUAAGUUUUUGCUGCAGAAAAACCAUUUUGGUUUUAUCAGUACAGACAGAGCACCCAGGCACAAAAAGAAAACACACAAAUGUAUAUAUAUAAAAUAUUGCAAUAAAAAUUAAAUAUUAAACUGGUGAAAUCUUUAGCAAUCCAUACAUUUAUAGCAGAUUGGUCACAUUAGUGUGAUCAAACUCUGAGGAGCCUUAGAAGAAAAUCUUAUUCAAUUUUCUCUGUAAGUUUUCAAAGUAAAUUUUUGAAGCAUUUACUAAAAAUAUCCUUCCAUGAAUGUGAAGAAGAAAUGGCUGUGAAUCACUCAGAUUUGCUUUAGUGUGAAAUAUUAUUGAAUAUCACCAAAUGUUAAUUCUUUUCACAGAGAUAAUAUUGGACUUACCACCAAGAAGAGAAGAAGAGUCUCCACAGGUUUUUUUCUUUGCUUUCUGCACCACCACCACCACCACCUCCCACUUACAAAUUUGUGUAUGCUGACUGACUCUGCUCCAUGUGUCAGUUCAGGAAAUUAAUCUCUUUUCAUGAAACCAGGCACAUUAGCAUGUUUUUUUCCUGUAUAAAAUUCGUUCUUUUGUUCUGAUCACCUUUGACCUUAAAUAAGUAAAUGAAGUUCCACUUAUAACUUACAGUUGAAAGGCUCUACAAAUUUUGUUCUACAUUUUAAAUGCCUGAGCUUUCCAGUUUUCGUAUAACAACCCAAAGCUACACAAUUUUAAAACUGGGAAAACAAGCUGGAUCCCCACGGAACUUCUUUUCUAUGUUAUAUCAAGGCUCUGGGACAAGGAUAACUCUAAAUUUAUGUAAGCAUGCCACCACUACUUUGAGAUCACAGUUCAGCCUUGCCAAGACUUCCCACUGAGGAUUCCCACUGUCCAUUGUUAACCCACAUAUUUUAUUUCUGGUUGAUUCUUCAAUAUGUUGACUAAUAGUUCCAGCACCCCAAAAGUUUUGCACAGAACUGCUGUACAAAUAACCAUUCAUUUAUGGUAUGGCCCUACUAUUUCUUAUAGGAGAAGACUGAGAGUGCAUACUUGAGGCGCCUGGGUCUUGGAACCACUAUGGUCCGGUCCGCAGGCGCUGGAUUGUUGAAGAAAUAGCAAGCUUCAACCAAAGGCGGGUGACUCACGGGUGGAUUUAUUUCCAAGGGUUCAAGUGAAGGAGAGAGAGGUGAGAGAUGAAGGGAAGCAACUGCUCGGAAGGGUAGCCAGCUCCAAGAGCCCCGAACUAGGGGCGGGGCAGGGAUUAUAACAGCAACCAGGAAGGAGGGUCAGGGUACGAAACAACCAACGAGGUGAGGGCUUGGGGGCGGAGUCAGGGAAGAGCGACAG
rnacentral:lncRNA from 1 species